CCUUAUCAUUAUUAAAUAUUUUUAACGAGCUACAUUAGAUAUUUCUCCAGUUUAAUUAAUUAUUUCUGUUCAACUUCAAAACUUUUCUCUAAUCACUGCUCUAAUCACUCUGGACUCGUAGUCUUCCUGACAGCAUUACCCGCCUUUUUUCUCUUCCGUUCUAUUUUCUUUCCUUCGCUCUCUAGAUCCAUUGGGUUUGCUUGCCUACAUUUCACACUCACUAAGAGCAAACUUAUAAUCAUUGCUUCUGUUAUAAAAAAAGGAAGAACAUUAUCAAAUUACUAUUAUAUAUAAUUUUUUAGUGGUUUAGCGAACUUCUUCCGUAUCUUCGUUGAUAACUUACAACUAAUUUCACAUUACGGAUCUUUCAAAUCGCGUCGUCUUAAAAAAUACUAAACAAAAACCCAUACUAAAGCAAGCUCUGAGUACAGCCAGCCAAAAUUGAGAAUAAAUCGUUGCAUCUAUAGAGAAAAAAAGGGCUAAAUACAAUGGCGCACCCUCAGCAAGAGAGCUCUGGUGGAAGACGGAAAAAUCCGUGUGAAGUUGAAGAUGAUGAAGAAGAUGGGAAGAAUCUUGCUCAACGAUCUCAUUUGGCUGGGGAAUCUAGUGGAUGUAUCUCCUAUCCAGCAUCAUUGACAGGAGAUAAUAGGAUUGCUACCUCCCCUCACAUUGUAAACAACAAUAACCACAACAUUCAGUUGAACAGUAUUAUGGAUCAUCUAAAAACACGAUUCAGUAUGUUAUGCAAAUCUUUAAAAGUGUCAGAGUCUAUGUGUAAAAAAGCCAUGAACCAUUGGGAGGAGUUAUGGUUGAAUCACCAGAAAGUCUUUCAUGAUAGUCCAGCUGAAGCAUGGUUUGGUUGUGCUCUCUACAAAUGUAUCAUUGAUAGCAGAUCCGGCUAUUGUGAUUUAGAUCCAUAUGUUUUCACAAUCACAGACUUACUGAAAGCAGUAGAUGUUAAAGUAAAAGAUUUUUUCAACUACAUGUCACGUUUACAAGAAGUCCAAAGUUCAAGCCAAGCUGUAAAUACUCACUUACAACAGCUAAUGAAAAGAUAUAUCAUCACAUCACCCAUGUUUGCAUUAUUCCAAAGAAUAUUUCCUCAAAUUUUCAAACAGAACUCUAAGAAUGUAUUAAACCAAAAAGUCAAAUCAGACACUGUCCAGUCAAAAAGGAAAUUGUGUUGGAUAUUGUUUCUCUUAUGCAAAAGCUCUUAUAUGAAUGGUAAUGCUGAGAUGAUUUCAUAUGUUCACGUGCUGAUCUGUAUAGUACACUAUGUUGCUACACAAACUACUGCUGACAUGUUGAAUUCUCCUUAUGAUGAACUUCAGAAAUCUAGCACUGACCCCAACUCUACAGAAAUGCUCUCACAGUUAGCUGAAGACUUCCGUACAAGCUAUAAGGAGCUUCAGCCUGUCCAGAACGCAGUCGCAGAGUUUGUCAAUUCAAUUGUAUUAUAUACCAACGGCAAUUUAGAUGUUGAUGAGACGGAGAAAAUUUAUCUGAAGUCUUACCAGGCUAGUGGAGAUAUAAAUGAGCUUCUCUUCUUAGUCAAUGAUCCCAUUGUCGUUACUUCAACUCCCAUCAAAAACAGAAAGCCAUCACCUCGACCUGAGGAUUCAGUAGUUGCUCCACUCACACCAGUUCGGUCAGCAUUGACUGUUGUUCAACAGUUAUGGAAAAUCUUGGAAGAAAUACCUGAGGACCCCAGGGAAUUGCUGAAAGAUUAUAUAGAUAGUUCUAAUGCCAGUAUGGUCACAUCUAUUUCUGAUAGAAUUGAAAAAUACAGGAAGAUCUUUGAAAAAUCUUUCACAGAUGUAAAAGGUCAGGACCCAGACACUAAGCGGUUUGCUUCAGAGAGGUUUCAAAUUAUCGUCAAACUCUAUUUACAUAUAUUCAAUUCUCUUCUAAUAUCUGAACAGCGGCGUGUUGGAAGAGCUUCUCUUGUGACUAUGUUCCGUAGUGAUGAUCUCCACAAAGCUUUGAUGGCAUGUAGUGCAGAAGUAAUCCUGAUGACUUACAAUGUUUCCUUGAACAACGUUGAAUCUCAGAACAUCCAGCCUGAUUUUGCCUUCCCUUGGGUAUUGAAAGUAUUUGAUCUAGAGGCAUUUUGUUUAUUCUUGGUGCUUGAAUCUGUCUUAAAAUUAGAAAAUAAACUACCAGGAGAAAUUUGCAGGCAUAUUCAGAAAAUAGAGCAGGAUAUUUUGGAUUGCUAUGCAUGGAAGGAAGGCAGGUCAGUGUUUGAGAUCUCAAAUGAGGAUCUGGAGAACCUCUUAGAAGCAAAAAAUGGUGAAAAUGCAACAAACCUAAUGAUGACACCAACGAAAAAUAAUCCAAACAACAGUUGCUUUUAUCAUUAUUAUUACAUAACACCUGAAAAAAUGCCCAUGAACUCUGAGUCAAAUGGUCAAACGGUGGUGGUGCCAAGCAGUCCAAAUUCAUCAAAUACUCAAAGAUCGCGAGCAAUUAAACAGUUCUUCACAAAAGUUUGCCAUCUUGCUUUCAAAAGACUUAGCCGAUUAUGUGAAUCAUUGGAAGUUUCUCCUGAGCUGACACAGAAAGUUUGGACUUGUCUUGUCCAUUGUAUCAUACACAAUCGUGAAUUACUACGAAACAGACAUCUUGACCAGAUUAUGGUAUGCUGUCUGUAUGGUAUCUGCCGAGUAGUACAUCAAGAGAUUAAAUUCAAAACUAUUGUAAAUGUAUCUAAGGAAAUCUCACUUGCUCAACAAGAAAUAUUUAAAGUGAUAUUAAUCCAAGAUGGCAGAACGGAUUCAAUUGUUGGUUUUUAUAAUAAUGUCUACCUACCAACUAUGAAGACAUAUAUUUUACAGUUUGAACCUAACAAACAAACAACUCCACCUCUCUCUUCUACACCUAAGUCAUGUGUAACCUCUUCACCAGUUUUCAGUGUUGCAGGCAAGAAGAACUUUCAUGUGAGUUAUGCUAAAAGUCCACUGUUCAAGACACAAGGUCAACUUACUCCAAGGACAGAUCAGUUGUACUGCUUUGUAGAAGGAGUUGGGUCUGCUGAGAAAUUACGUAACAUCAAUGAUACCAUUGCUCAAAGCCGAGCUCAGAAACGUCUCCAGUUUGACAACUUAGACAAUGACUCCACUAGGAACACAGCUAAAAGGCCGCGUGACGGGAUGGAUGCUUCUACCAACAGAUCUGAAACCAAUACCUGGAAAGACCCUUCCUUUAAACCCCCAACCCCAGUCAGCUCAAGAGUCUCUACCACACCAGCAAAAGAGUCUGCUGAAAAGAAAGAACAAUCAUCUCCAAUGCCACGUUAUAUGUCAUCAGCUCUGAAGAAGACACAGCGCUUUCUGCAAUUUGAUGACAUUCAACCUGCUUCUGAAAAUGAAGUCAACAGCUCUGCUGAUAGUCGACCUGGGUCUUUGGCAGUGGACAGUUCUCAAAAAGAAAGAAAAGAAAACACAAUGGAGAAAUGAUUGUUGUUCUUUAAAGUUUGGUGCUGUAAACUGACAAAUGGAUUGGUUUCAGCUCUCCUGUUAUAAAACUUGAAGUAUUUUGUGACCAUCGAUGCUGCUUCUGUAAACUAUCUUCCAUUUGGUAAACCAGGCUGUUUUAGCAGCAAACUUUAAUUCUAUCUCUUAGAAGCCCUCUUCUGCUUUUUCAGUUUCCAAUAGCCUAGUGACAUUUCUCUGUUGUGCUCUUGUUAACAUUCCAGCAUAAACUUGCUAUUUUUUCUGCUAAUCUGUUCUGAGUGGAUUACUCUUUGAACGCUGCUGGAGAAUAUCUGAACAGAAAAAAAAUCUAUUAAGCAAAUCUUAUUUGAUUGAAUCAAGCAAACAGAAGCGAAGCAUCACUUGAUAUAAACUCUAAUAUGUUGAAUGGUUUGGAAAUGACAAAUUUUAGAAUAUAUCACACUUGCCACAAAUUCAACUUGUUGAAACAUAAUGUUAAAACUGAUAAUUUAUUUUAGAUGACAAUGAAAUGAUAAUAUUAUUAUUAUUAAUAAUAAUGAUGGUGAUGAUGAUGAUGCUGAUAGCUAUAGUGUGAUCAUUAUUGUGAACAUGGUUAGAAAUGAAUUCAGAAACUAAAUGGUGCUUUUGAAAUUGAAAAAUUGAUUGAAAAUUUUAAUUAUUAUUUUAAAUAUAUAAUUAACAAUUUUAAAUGUGGACAACAAGUUAAAAUGAGUUGAGAGGAAAUGUGUCUUAUAUAUGUGAUUUUUUUUGGAUGUGUGACCGUUGUUUUGAAAAACUUAGCUGCCCUUUGUUAUGAUGUCAGUUUUCUAACACCAGUUUAGUUAUGAAGAAAGUUAAAAAUUCACUUCAUUAAAAUGACAUUCACAAAGCUUCUGUAUUAUUUAUUGCAAAAUUCUGUAUAUGUUAGUGAGGAAGAUCUGGACUCCAGAAUAAAUUUUCUUUUAAUAUAUUAUAUUUAAGUAUAUUAAAUGUCUAAAUAUCUGUUUCAUUUAUUGGUGUUUCUUAUUUUAUUUUAUGAUUAUUAUUUUUACAAAGUGAAAAUAAACAGAUAUAAUGCUCUCUCAAAUGUAUUAUACCAGUACACUUCUCUUUGUUUCAAGUAUAAACAUCUUUACAAUGUUCAAUCCUAGAUUAACCAACAAGAAACUAAAAUUAUUAUGUUUUUUUAUCUCCAGCUCUCUUUUUUUAUAUCUUAUUUGCUGGUAAUAUUGUAUUUUGAAAGUAGAUGAAGAUCAAUCAAUCAAUCAUAGUAUUUGUCUGAGAUUUUACUUUUUUCUUGUGUUAAACAUUGUUGAAAUAUGCCACAGUAAAUGUUUCCAAACAUUUGCUUCAAUCGUGUAGUUAUACAUUAUAUAUUUUGUUUCCUUUUACUCACCGUUCAGGUGCUGUUCAGCAGAACGCAUCAAAUGUAUUUGCUUCUUAUGUGUAAACUUUAUAUGAUUGUUCAAUAUUUUCACUAGAUGUAUACUUUCAAUCACAUUUUCGUUAUCAAAACUAGCCUGUAUGUGGCUUUUUAAGCAUAGACUUCAACACAUGGCUAGUAAAGUUAGACUAUUAUAACAUUUCUAUUACAUUAAAUGGUCAAAAUACUGAUCAGGCAAUUGAAAAAUGAUAAUGUAGUCACCUUUUAACAUUAUAAACAGCACAAUUGUGAUUAAAAUUCUGUGUUUCCAUGAUGAAGUUUCAUACAAUAUCUGAUACUUGCUGACUAUUAACUCUUUGAUUGCAAAAGAAAUUACGUUUAUUCUUUGUAAGUUCUCCAGUCAUCUUCGGCUGCCAUUUACUAUUCUGUUCUAUAAUUACAUAUUAUAUACAAAGUCCUAAGUAAUAUGUGGGAAUUAACUGUACCAUGUAAUUAUCAUAAAAAUGAGUUCAGUCUCGUUUUUAGAACUUAGUGUAUAUGUAAAUACAGUAAUAUGACUGCUUGUUUCUUAGAGUAACAAUAUUGCAAUUGAAGACAAUUGGAGAAUUCUUCUUAGUCUAGUGUUUCUUUUAAAAUAAACAUACAGGAAAUUAAAUGAAAUGAAAAAUAUAUAGUUACGAGUCAAAAAGCAUCAUAUAUUACAUGUGUAAUAUUUUAUU